rnacentral:rRNA from 1 species
AGUGAACGCUGGCGGUAGGCCUAACACAUGCAAGUCGAACGGCAGCACAGUAAGAGCUUGCUCUUACGGGUGGCGAGUGGCGGACGGGUGAGGAAUACAUCGGAAUCUACUUUUUCGUGGGGGAUAACGUAGGGAAACUUACGCUAAUACCGCAUACGACCUACGGGUGAAAGCAGGGGAUCUUCGGACCUUGCGCGAGUGAAUGAGCCGAUGUCGGAUUAGCUAGUUGGCGGGGUAAAGGCCCACCAAGGCGACGAUCCGUAGCUGGUCUGAGAGGAUGAUCAGCCACACUGGAACUGGGACACGGUCCAGACUCCUACGGGAGGCAGCAGUGGGGAAUAUUGGACAAUGGGCGCAAGCCUGAUCCAGCCAUACCGCGUGGGUGAAGAAGGCCUUCGGGUUGUAAAGCCCUUUUGUUGGGAAAGAAAAGCAGCAGGUUAAUACCCCGCUGUUCUGACGGUACCCAAAGAAUAAGCACCGGCUAACUUCGUG